rnacentral:tRNA from 1 species
GGACUGUGGCUCAGUGGUAGAGCGCUUGCCUAGCAUACAUGAGGCACUGGGUUCAAUCCUCAACACCA